ensembl:snoRNA
CUCUCAGGUCCUCAAUACAGCCCUCAAAUGGGCCUGCAAUAUUUUCCAUAUACAAUCAGGUUCCCUUGCUGCUUACCCAGAGCCUGAGAGAAUUAUGAAAACAUGGCAGGUGAAGUGGGGCCAGGGACCCGGAG